rnacentral:tRNA from 1 species
UGGCGAUUAGUUCAGUGGUAGAACGCCCGGCUGUUAACCGGGAAGUCCCAGGUUCGAACCCUGGAUUGCCAG